rnacentral:lncRNA from 1 species
GCUUUUUCUCCACACAUGACAUGUGUGCAAAUAACUUGAUUUCCAGUUACUACUUCAUUGAACUAUGAAUGACAAUGCUCCAAAUUAACCGUGACAUCACUAAUUAACUCUUAGAUUUUCCUUGUUUUAUUGGAUUGGAUGACAUCAUUCGACAACCCAAAACAUUCUUCAAAAGUUCCCUACAUGACAUCAUAAUAGAUAUACAAUCAAAGAUCAUUACGUUUAAUGAAAAUCAUAAGCAUUGACAAAGCACUUGCAACUAUGACAUCACGUCACUCAUGCUAGGAAUUGAACUUAACGCGAUCGUUUAUAAGUGACCUUCACUACAUGUGAAUAUAAGUUUGUAACGAUUA